UAACCUUGCGGCCGUACUCCCCAGGCGGUCUACUUAAUGCGUUAGCUUGAGAGCCCAGUGUUCAAGACACCAAACUCCGAGUAGACAUCGUUUACGGCGUGGACUACCAGGGUAUCUAAUCCUGUUUGCUCCCCACGCUUUCGUGCCUGAGCGUCAGUCUUUGUCCAGGGGGCCGCCUUCGCCACCGGUAUUCCUCCAGGUCUCUACGCAUUUCACCGCUACACCUGGAAUUCUACCCCCCUCUACAAGACUCUAGUUCGCCAGUUCGAAAUGCAAUUCCCAGGUUGAGCCCGGGGCUUUCACAUCUCGCUUAACAAACCGCCUGCGCACGCUUUACGCCCAGUAAUUCCGAUUAACGCUCGGACCCUCCGUAUUACCGCGGCUGCUGGCACGGAGUUAGCCGGUCCUUCUUCUGUAGGUAACGUCACAGCAAUAACGUAUUAAGUUAUUACCUUUCCUCCCUACUGAAAGUGCUUUACAACCCGAAGGCCUUCUUCACACACGCGGCAUGGCUGCAUCAGGGUUUCCCCCAUUGUGCAAUAUUCCCCA
rnacentral:rRNA from 1 species